GAUGAACGCUGGCGGCGUGCCUAAUACAUGCAAGUUGAGCGAACAGACGAGGAGCUUGCUCCUCUGACGUUAGCGGCGGACGGGUGAGUAACACGUGGAUAACCUACCUAUAAGACUGGGAUAACUUCGGGAAACCGGAGCUAAUACCGGAUAAUAUAUUGAACCGCAUGGUUCAAUAGUGAAAGACGGUUUUGCUGUCACUUAUAGAUGGAUCCGCGCCGCAUUAGCUAGUUGGUAAGGUAACGGCUUACCAAGGCAACGAUGCGUAGCCGACCUGAGAGGGUGAUCGGCCACACUGGAACUGAGACACGGUCCAGACUCCUACGGGAGGCAGCAGUAGGGAAUCUUCCGCAAUGGGCGAAAGCCUGACGGAGGAACGCCGCGUGAGUGAUGAAGGUCUUCGGAUCGUAAAACUCUGUUAUUAGGGAAGAACAAAUGUGUAAGUAACUAUGCACGUCUUGACGGUACCUAAUCAGAAAGCCACGGCUAACUACGUG
rnacentral:rRNA from 1 species